rnacentral:lncRNA from 10 species
AAACAGGGUUUCACCGUGUUAGCCAGGAUGGUCUUAAUCUCCUGACCUUGUGAUCUGUCCACCUUGGCCUCCCAAAUGCUGGGAUUACAGGCGGGAGCCACUGCACCUGGCCGAAGUCAGUUGUAAUUCUAAUGUAUACACAGUCUUCAAGAGGAACAGUUUAGAGAAGUUGAAUUGUUUUCUGAUUUUCUUUCUCAAUUCUCUUCCUACCCCACAGAAUCACUGCCCAGUUUAAAGUUUGUUUCACAGGGCAUCCCUUUCAUCCUUAUCACUUAAACUUUUCAGUGGCUUACUGUCAUACUCCAGACCAAAUCCAAGCUCUUUAUCUUAGUUAAAUGAUCGAAGUCAGGCCUAGUUCCCCAAAUCUUGUUGAGUGCUUUCUCUGCCAGCCAUCAUGCCAGGUGCAAGGGGCAUAAGGGUGAACGGGGUGCUAUAACUCACCGGUUAGGAGUAUGACAGCUACAUAUUCAAAUCUGGGCUCUGCUCUUCAUCAACAAUAUGACCUAUUUCUGUGAGCUUCAG